rnacentral:lncRNA from 1 species
GCCUCUGACACGAGCUGAGGGGGAGAUUUUAUGAAAAUUUUUAUUGAGGAAUGAGUUGCGUCGCUGCAUUUGAGGUUUAUAUACUUAGUAGAUAAUAUUAUACAUUUUUUUUAUAAUUUUGUAUAUUAUUGCAUAAUGAUGUAUAAUGUUAUAUACAUUUGUAUAGUAAUAUACAUAAUUAUACAAAUAUAUACAUACGUAUGUAUCAUGUUUAAACAUGUAUCUACAUUGUAUAAGUGUGUAUAAAAUGGAUAGGAAAAAGAAAGUCACCAAAAAAAUGACUCUUAUUGUAUAUACAGCAAUAUAUAAAUUUGUACAUUGUUAUUAUACAAAAUAGAGGGUUUCGUCUUAUUCCUCGAACUCAAUACAACAACAAUAUACUCAGUGUAUUCCCACCUAAUGGGGUUUGGGGAGGGUAGAGUGUAUGCGGACCAUACCACUACUUCAAGAGAAGUAAAGAGGUUGUUUCCGAUAGACCUCCGACUUAGGACCAAUAACAGUAUAACCAAUACAAAAAGUAAGUGCAUAUAAACUAGUAUGGUACACAAAACAAACUAAGAGUAUAACAAACACAAAAGAUAAGUGUAUAAUAAACUAGUACAGGAUGUAAAAAAGCCAACACCACUAGCCCUAAAAACUACAGCCACAACACUACGAACUAGAAACUCAGUGUCAGAUGAGUCAUUGAUUUAGUAUCUCAGUGUCAGUACUGAGUUCAGUCUGCAAUAAAGUGGUAUCUUGGUUUCAGUAUCUAGCGUUGCAAUAAUUGUGUUCAUGUUCUGUGCAUUCAUGUAUAUGUUCUCGUGCAACAUUUUCAUGACUAUUCAGUUUACAUAUUGUGCAUGCAUGAGCCUUUGCAUUUAGCCUUACCUUAUUUAUAUACUCGAUAAAAUUUUAUACUGACACAUUUGCGCUAUGGUUUUUUAUUUGACACCAUAGUUUCAGAGGCAUAGGAUUCAAAGCUUCCUUAGCAGUUCAGUCCCAGUUAGCAGCAGUAGUAGUGAGUCCUAUUCCUUCGAGGACGAAUCUCAGUUUACUAUUAAUGCAUCAGAUUUGGUUUAUAUUCUCAGUGGACAGAGUUAGUUGGGGACAUGUCCCAUCAACUCCAUAGUUCAGAUAGUUUAGAGGCUUUUUAGACAGAUGUUGAUGUAAUAGUAUUCAGUUUUCAGUUUGAGUAUGUAUAGAUCUGUUGAACCCUAUGGCUAGUUUCCACAUUUAUUUCAGAUAUUAUGCAGUGUACAGGUACAGAUAUCAGUAAAGGAUUAGCUUGUGGUCCUUCGGGUCCAUAAGCACCAUGUGAUGUCACGAGAUGGGAUCUCGGGGCAUUACAUCAUUAUAGUAUGAAUAUAAUAUUAUUAGUUUAUGAUGGGAUUUUGGUCUUGGAGGUAUAUUUAGUAUGGAUUGUAUCUUGUAUCCGAUUAAGAAAUCAUAAUUAAGCAUACUUGGCAUGAUUGCUUGUUCUUAAGGGAGAUUUUCUAUAUUAGGACUAAAUUAUGGCUUAUUUAAUAUCUAGUAGUGCAAUUAGAUACCUUCUCCUAGUUUGGGGGAAAUUUACCUUAGAAUGAAUUUCAGAAAUAGGAGUGGGACCCUCCGACCCACUUAAGGCCAAGAUUGGCAUUAACUUCGUGUAGGACCUAUAUGCCUUGCGCAUUAUUUAAUAUACAUUUUUUAGUCUAAUGAGAUUUAUUUUCAUGAUUCUUUCUUCUAGUUUGGUACCUGGGAGAUGGUAUGAGUUCUGGUUCAAGUCCGGCAAAUGAUGAUAUGAGUAUUGGUUCAAGUUCAGUAAAUAAUGAUGUGAGUUUUGGUUUAAGUCGGGUUCAUUCAACUCAUUCUACAUAAUUUCACAUUCAAAACCAAUUUGCAUUAUGUAAUCAUACAUAGCACUUACCAAGUACAUCUCAUUUAUUCCUAAUAACAAAAAAUUUAGAAAAAUUACUCCUAAAAAUUCAAAAGGGAUAACGGGUUCAAAAGGCUCCCCCUAGAAAAAGAACCAAAAAGAACAACCAAGGGGUGGGUGAAAUGUGAUACAACUAGACAGAUACCAACAAACAUUGAAAAUUGACAAUAAUCAAAUUUAAAUUCUUUUUGCAAUUUUUUUUUAAAUUUUGUCAAAACUGGAAAAUGUCUAAAAAUUGAAAUCCCAUAACUUUACCAUGAACAAUCAGAAGAUUUCCUACCCUACACUUAAAAUCACACUUCAUCCCCAAAUUAUAAAUUAAAAGUAAGGAUAGAAAUACUCCCUGAGGCCUCUAAGACUAGCUA